AGAAACACAGCACCAGCUCCCUUAAAUUCAGCCUCCUCCUCAGGCUUGAAGAGACUUGCGGGAGUGGUGACUCUCAUCUGCUCGAAGAUGAACCCACUGUGGACCCUCCUCUUUGUGCUCUCAGCCCCCAGAGGGGUCCUGUCCCAGGUGCAGCUGAAGGAGUCGGGCCCCAGCCUGGUGAAGCCCUCACAGACCCUCUCCCUCACCUGCACGGUCUCUGGAUACUCAUUGAGCAGCUAUGGUGUAGGCUGGGUCCGCCAGGCUCCAGGGAAGGCGCUGGAGUGCCUUGGUGGUAUAAGCAGUGGUGGAAGCACAGGCUACAACCCAGCCCUGAAAUCCCGGCUCAGCAUCACCAAGGACAACUCCAAGAGCCAAGUCUCUCUGUCACUGAGCAGCGUGACACCUGAGGACACGGCCACAUACUACUGUGCGAAGGACACAGUGAGGGGAAGUCAGUGUGAGCCCAGACAAAAACCUCCCUGCAUAGGGGCCCGUGACCACCAGGGGGCGCUCAGGACUCAGUACAGAGCUGAGCCCUGGAGCAGGUGCAGAAGAGGCGUUGGGCGGUGGGGGCCUGGGGGGGAUUCUCCUCAGAGCUUCUCUUUCCUCCUCCUGCCCAGGAACCGCACCUCAGACCCUUUUCUGUGUCCUGGUAUUUCCUUGUGGUUUAUGUCGCUCUCAGAAAACUGUGUUUAUAUAUAUUUUAAUUUUUCCUUGAAGCAAGGAUAGCAUUAUGCAAACACA